UACGUAGGGCGCAAGCGUUGUCCGGAAUUAUUGGGCGUAAAGAGCUCGUAGGCGGUUUGUCGCGUCUGCUGUGAAAACCUAAGGCUCAACCUUGGGCUUGCAGUGGGUACGGGCAGACUAGAGUGCGGUAGGGGUGACUGGAAUUCCCGGUGUAGCGGUGAAAUGCGCAGAGAUCGGGAGGAACACCCGUAGCGAAGGCGGCACUCUGGGCCGGUACUGACGCUGAGGAGCGAAGCGUGGGGAGCAAACAGG
rnacentral:rRNA from 1 species